rnacentral:rRNA from 1 species
GAUGAACGCUGGCGGCGUGCCUAAUACAUGCAAGUCGAGCGACCAGACGAGGAGCUUGCUCCUCUGACGUUAGCGGCGGACGGGCGAGUAACACGUGGAUAACCUACUUAUAAGACUGGGAUAACUUCGGGAAAACGGAUCUAAUACCGGAUAAUAUAUUGUACCGCAUGGUUCAAUAGUGAAAGACGGUUUUGCUGUCAUUUAUAGAUGGCUCGGGGCUGCAUUAGUUAAUUGGUAAGGUAACGGCUCACCAAUGCAACGAUGCGUAGCCGAGCGGAGAGGAGGAGCAGCCACACUGGAACGGAAACACGGUCCAGACUCCUACGGGAGGCAGCAGUAGGGAAUCUUCCGCAAUGGGCGAAAGCCUGACGUAGCAACGCCGCGUGAGUGAUGAAGGUCUUCGGAUCGUAAAACUCUGUUAUUAGGGAAGAACAAAUGUGUAAGUAACUAUGCACGUCUUGACGGUACCUAAUCAGAAAGCCACGGCUAACUACGUG